rnacentral:pre_miRNA from 1 species
GGCCUCCCUCUUUGGGGCGAUUGAUCGUGGGGCCCCACCAUCAAUUGCCCCAAACAGGUAGGCC